CCAGUCCAUGCCGCGUGUGUGAAGAAGGCCUUCGGGUUGUAAAGCACUUUUGUCCGGAAAGAAAUCCUCCUGGUUAAUACCCGGUUGGGAUGACGGUACCCGAAGAAUAAGCACCGGCUAACUACGUGCCAGCAGCCGCGGUAAUACGAAGGGUGCAAGCGUUACUCGGAAUUACUGGGCGUAAAGCGUGCGCAGGCGGUUCUUUAAGACCGAUGUGAAAUCCCCGGGCUCAACCUGGGAACUGCAUUGGAGACUGGGGGACUAGAGUGUGGCAGAGGGGGGUAGAAUUCCUGGUGUAGCAGUGAAAUGCGUAGAGAUGUGGAGGAAUAUCCAUGGCGAAGGCAGCCCCCUGGACCAAUACUGACGCUCAUGCACGAAAGCGUGGGGAGCAAACAGGAUUAGAUACCCUGGUAGUCCACGCCCUAAACGAUGUCAACUGGUUGUCGGGUCUUCUUUGACUUGGUAACUCAACUAACGCGUGAAGUUUACCCCCUGGGGAGUAACGGUCUCAAAAUUAAAUCCAAGGGAGUUUUUUCGGGG
rnacentral:rRNA from 1 species